GUUCAAUCGACCGUCAUGUCGUUGAACUAAUCAUUUUCUCUCUUAUUAUAUUAUAUUCAUGUACACCGGGAGUAUGUCCCUGGUUAAGCUAUGUAAUUAUACAGUGAAUUAUGUUAUAAAAUUUAUUUUUUAUUUAAUUUCAGUUUAUUUCUGCAUUAUAGAGGUCUUUUAAUCGAAGGUGCCUAACAUUUUAUGGGGGUAAUUAAUAGUAAAUGCUUGCAUCUAUUGGGAACCAUGAAUCUAUAAUACUUGAUACCUAUAUAUAUACUUUAAUAUUAAUCUGAAUCAUGAAUACUAUCCCAUGAAAAGUCAAAAUAAGAUUAACCGUGCGAGAUGCGUCAUUCGUGGUCGCAGAUAAAUGUAUAAGUAUAAUUUUUCUUUAAUAAAUUAUUCAAAAUAUUAUUGAAAUAUUACCAAAUGAUCCCUUAUAGUAUAUUAAAUAAUAGAAAUAUUUAUUUAUUGUGGAAAUAAUUUAACUUCUCUUUUAGGGAUGCAAAUGGAUUUAGAUUGGUGGAGCUCUUGCCCUGAUCUGUCCAAAAUAGGGUGGUAAGUGAUUCCGAAUCUGAUCUGAUCCGCCAACUAAAUGGAACGGGAGGUGGGGGACUCCUCUCUUCCUUUAAUUUGCCCCGAUUUGCUAAAAAUCUGUCAAAAAUUUGCUUUCAUUCUGAUCGGCUUCGAUCCGUUAAAAUUUCAUCAAAAAUUUGCUUCCAUCCUGAUUCACUCUGAAUGAAGCACGAUAAGUGAAGAUCUGCCUGAAUUCGAUCCUAUCCGAUAAAAAAUAAAACAUGAAGGUGAGAGACUUCUUUCUUCGAUUUCGCCUGUUUGAAUCCUUCUUCCCUUCCACUUGGACGAAACAGAGGUGCCUGGCAGCACAAUUUGAACAAAGUGGCUUUUCCAUAGUUUCAUAGCAUACUAGUGAGAUACCCGCGCGAUGCUGCAGAUAUAAAAAUAUUUUCAUAAUAAAUUUUAUUUGUUUAAUAUUUUUAUAUAGUUUUAUAAGUCUAAUUAUUAAUUAAAUAAAAAUUAUAUAAAAAUAAUUUAAUAGUUAAAUCUAUUUAAAUAAAAGUUAUUAAAAUUGGUAUAUGCGCAAAGUAAAUUUAUACAAUAAUUUAUUUUAUAAAAAUUUAUAUGAAAAGAAUUUGAGAUAAAUCUAUCAAAAAAAUUUUAAAAAAAUCAAUAAAUAGAAGGAAAAUAAAAUUGUAGAAGAAAUUGUUUAAUAAAAUUAAUUAUAUAUAUACACAUAUACACUAUAUUUCUAAAAUUUUAGUCAUAAAAUUUACAUUCUAUAUUUUUUUAUACAGCUAUCAGGUUAGAUUUUAUUACGUGAUUUGUUACGCGUAUUAUUAAUAAAAUUAAUUAAUUAGUUUCAUAGAAUUUAGAGAUUUAAAAUUUAAAAUUUUGAAGUUUAAAAUUUGAAAAUAAAUAUUAUAAGUUAAAAUUGAAAUUUACAAUUUAAAAUAUAAAAUUUGAAAGUAUCAAAGGUUUCGGGGGGACACGUGUCACUUUUUGGUCCCCCCAAAUCCUCCUUUAAUGUAGUAGAAAGAAUAGAUUUUACACAGAAUUUUUUCGCAUUUAGCCCCUCUCAAAAUUUAUUUUUUAUAAAUAGUCUAAUAAAUUUAUAUUUGUAUAAAUAAUCGUGUUUAAACAUGAUGAUUUAUUUAUCCUGUUCAACUUAAAAUUUCAAACAUGACGCUCGCAUGACAAGGAGAAGGUCAUAUGUAUAAAUAUAAAUUUAUUAGAGUUAUUUAUAAAAUUAAUUUUUUUUUGAGAG
rnacentral:lncRNA from 1 species